CSGAGUAYCACUGAGGCGUCGGACUGGCCCAGAGAGGUGGGCAACUACCACUCAGGGCCGGAAAGCUCUCCAAACUKGGUCAUUUAGAGGAAGUAAAAGUCGUAACAAGGUCUCCGUUGGUGAACCAGCGGAGGGAUCAUUACCGAGUUUACAACUCCCAAACCCCUGUGAACAUACCACUUGUUGCCUCGGCGGAUCAGCCCGCUCCCGGUAAAACGGGACGGCCCGCCAGAGGACCCCUAAACUCUGUUUCUAUAUGUAACUUCUGAGUAAAACCAUAAAUAAAUCAAAACUUUCAACAACGGAUCUCUUGGUUCUGGCAUCGAUGAAGAACGCAGCAAAAUGCGAUAAGUAAUGUGAAUUGCAGAAUUCAGUGAAUCAUCGAAUCUUUGAACGCACAUUGCGCCCGCCAGUAUUCUGGCGGGCAUGCCUGUUCGAGCGUCAUUUCAACCCUCAAGCACAGCUUGGUGUUGGGACUCGCGUUAAUUCGCGUUCCCCAAAUUGAUUGGCGGUCACGUCGAGCUUCCAUAGCGUAGUAGUAAAACCCUCGUUACUGGUAAUCGUCGCGGCCACGCCGUUAAACCCCAACUUCUGAAUGUUGACCUCGGAUCAGGUAGGAAUACCCGCUGAACUUAAGCA
rnacentral:rRNA from 1 species